rnacentral:rRNA from 1 species
UACGAGGGGGGCAAGCGUUGUUCGGAAUUAUUGGGCGUAAAGGGCGCGUAGGCGGUGCGGUAAGUCACCUGUGAAACCUCUGGGCUCAACCCAGAGCCUGCAGGCGAAACUGCCGUGCUUGAGGGUGGGAGAGGUGCGUGGAAUUCCCGGUGUAGCGGUGUAAUGCGUAGAUAUCGGGAGGAACCCCUGUGGCGAAGGCGGCGCUCUGGACCACAUCUGACGCUGAGGCGCGUAAGCUAGGGGAGCAAACUGG